rnacentral:snoRNA from 1 species
GUACCACCAACCAUGGCUUAAUUUUAUUUUUUAUAAAAAGCUACAGAGGGCAAUGGCUUCAAACAGCAACCUCGGUGGCAGUGUACACAGCCUACUGCUUGUACAGGCUGCCCUAAGGGACCUUGGAGACCCUG